AAGCUCGUAGUUGAAUUUCCGGGUUAGUAGGCUGGUCGUGCCACAGGUAUGUACUGGUCUCACUGAUUCCUCCUUCCUGAUGAACCGUAAUGCCAUUAAUUUGGUGUUGCGGGGAGACUGGACUGUUACUUUGAAAAAAUUAGAGUGUUUAAAGCAGGCUAACGCUCGAAUACAUUAGCAUGGAAUAAUGAAAUAGGACGUUCGGUCUUAUUUUGUUGGUUUCUAAGAUUGACGUAAUGAUUAAUAGGGAUAGUUGGGGGCAUUAGUAUUCAAUUGUCAGAGGUGAAAUUCUUGGAUUUAUUGAAGACUAACUACUGCGAAAGCAUUUGCCAAGGAUGUUUUCAUUAAUCAAGAACGAAAGUUAGGGGAUCGAAGACGAUCAGAUACCGUCGUAGUCUUAACCAUAAACUAUGCCGACUAGGGAUCGGACGAAGUUAAUUUUAUAAUGACGCGUUCGGCACCUUACGGGAAACCAAAGUGUUUGGGUUCCGGGGGGAGUAUGGUCGCAAGGCUGAAACUUAAAGGAAUUGACGGAGGGCACCACCAGGGGUGGAGCCUGCGGCUUAAUUUGACUCAACACGGGGAAA
rnacentral:rRNA from 1 species